rnacentral:rRNA from 1 species
UAAUACAGAGGGCGCAAGCGUUGUUCGGAAUUACUGGGCGUAAAGCGCGCGCAGGCGGAACGGUAAAGUCCGGAGUGAAAUCUCGCCGCUCAACGGCGAGGCUGCUUUGGAUACUGACGAUCUAGGGACCGGUAGAGGCUGGUAGAAUUGCAGGUGUAGCGGUGGAAUGCGUAGAGAUCUGCAAGAAUACCCGUG